UAAAUCUUUUACGUUUUCAGAUACAUCUUCCAGUCCACCUAUAGAACAAGAACCACCGCUGCAAUGGGCCAUUUCAAGGAUCGUCGUUAUAAGGAUACUUUGAGGAAUGGAACAUCUUCCUGUCGAGCCACUGAACAAGAACCACCUCUGCAUUGGGCCAAGUCAAGGAUCGUCUUUAUAAGGAUACUUUGAGUAAUGGAACAUCUUUCUGUCUAACCACUGAACAAGAACCACCCCUGCAAUGGGCCAAUUCAAGGAUCGUCUUUAUAAGGACACUUUGAGGAAAGGUACAUCUUCCAGUCCAACUAUCAAACAAAAACCACCCCAGCCAAGUCAUGGAUCGUCUUUAUAAGGAUGCUUUGAAGAAUGG